rnacentral:tRNA from 1 species
UCCCUGCUGGCUCAGAGGUUAAAGCCUCUGCUUGCAAUGCAGGAGACCUGGGUUCAAUCCCUGGGUCAGGAA